AUUGAACGCUGGCGGCAUGCCUUACACAUGCAAGUCGAACGGUAACAGGUCUUCGGAUGCUGACGAGCGGCGAACGGGUGAGUAAUACAUCGGAACGUGCCUAGUAGUGGGGGAUAACUACUCGAAGGAGUGGCUAAUACCGCAUGAGAUCUACGGAUGAAAGCAGGGGAUCGCAAGACCUUGUGCUACUAGAGCGGCCGAUGGCAGAUUAGGUAGUUGGUGGGAUAAAAGCUUACCAAGCCGACGAUCUGUAGCUGGUCUGAGAGGACGAUCAGCCACACUGGGACUGAGACACGGCCCAGACUCCUACGGGAGGCAGCAGUGGGGAAUUUUGGACAAUGGGCGCAAGCCUGAUCCAGCAAUGCCGCGUGCAGGAUGAAGGCCUUCGGGUUGUAAACUGCUUUUGUACGGAACGAAAAGCCCUGGGUUAAUACCCUGGGGUCAUGACGGUACCGUAAGAAUAAGCACCGGCUAACUACGUGCCAGCAGCCGCCGCGGUAA
rnacentral:rRNA from 1 species